rnacentral:rRNA from 1 species
AACGAACGCUGGCGGCAUGCCUAACACAUGCAAGUCGAACGGGAUCCACCUUUCGGGGUGGUGAGAGUGGCGGACGGGCGAGUAACACGUGGGAACCUGCCUUUUGGGUUCGGGAUAACCGCGGGAAACUGCGGCUAAUACCGGAUGUACCCGCGAGGGGAAAGAUUUAUCGCCAGAAGAGGGGCCCGCGUCCGAUUAGGUAGUUGGUAGGGUAAAGGCCUACCAAGCCGACGAUCGGUAGCUGGUCUGAGAGGAUGAUCAGCCACACUGGGACUGAGAUACGGCCCAGACUCCUACGGGAGGCAGCAGUGGGGAAUAUUGGACAAUGGGGGCAACCCUGAUCCAGCAAUGCCGCGUGAGUGAUGAAGGGCCUUAGGGUUGUAAAGCUCUUUUGCCAGGGAAGAUGAUGACGGUACCUGGAGAAUAAGCCCCGGCUAANUUCGUGCAGCAGCCGCGGUAAUACGAAGGGGGCUAGCGUUGUUCGGAAUUACUGGGCGUAAA